AACGAACGCUGGCGGCAGGCUUAACACAUGCAAGUCGAACGCCCCGCAAGGGGAGUGGCAGACGGGUGAGUAACGCGUGGGAACAUACCCUUUCCUGCGGAAUAGCACUGGGAAACUGGCAUUCAUACCGCAUACGCCCUACGGGGGAAAGAUUUAUCGGGGAAGGAUUGGCCCGCGUUGGAUUAGCUAGUUGGUGGGGUAAAGGCCUACCAAGGCGACGAUCCAUAGCUGGUCUGAGAGGAUGAUCAGCCACAUUGGGACUGAGACACGGCCCAAACUCCUACGGGAGGCAGCAGUGGGGAAUAUUGGACAAUGGGCGCAAGCCUGAUCCAGCCAUGCCGCGUGAGUGAAGAAGGCCUUAGGGUUGUAAAGCUCUUUCACCGAUGAAGAUAAUGACGGUAGUCGGAGAAGAAGCCCCGGCUAACUUCGUGCCAGCCGCCGCGGUAACAC
rnacentral:rRNA from 1 species